GAUGAACGCUGGCGGCGUGCUUAACACAUGCAAGUCGAACGGAAAGGCCCAAGCUUGCUUGGGUACUCGAGUGGCGAACGGGUGAGUAACACGUGGGUGAUCUGCCCUGCACUUCGGGAUAAGCCUGGGAAACUGGGUCUAAUACCGGAUAGGACCACGUUUUGGAUGGUGUGGUGGAAAGUUUUUCGGUGUGGGAUGAGCUCGCGGCCUAUCAGCUUGUUGGUGGGGUAAUGGCCUACCAAGGCGUCGACGGGUAGCCGGCCUGAGAGGGUGUACGGCCACAUUGGGACUGAGAUACGGCCCAGACUCCUACGGGAGGCAGCAGGGGGGAAUAUUGCACAAUGGGCGCAAGCCUGAUGCAGCGACGCCGCGUGGGGGAUGACGGCCUUCGGGUUGUAAACUCCUUUCGCUAGGGACGAAGCGUUUUUGUGACGGUACCUGGAGAAGAAGCACCGGCUAACUACGUG
rnacentral:rRNA from 1 species